rnacentral:tRNA from 1 species
GGCUUGUUGUUCUAGGGGGGGCAUGAUUCUCGCUUAGGGUGCGAGAGGUCCAGGUUCAAAUCCCGGACGAGCCC